rnacentral:rRNA from 1 species
AUUGAACGCUGGCGGCAGGCCUAACACAUGCAAGUCGAGCGAGCGGCGGACGGGUGAGUAAUGUCUGGGAAACUGCCUGUUGGAGGGGGAUAACUACUGGAAACGGUAGCUAAUACCGCAUACCAUCCGAUGUUCCCAGAUGGGAUUAGUGUGUAGGUGGGGUAACGGCUCACCUAGGCGACGAGCCCUAGCUGGUCUGAGAGGAUGACCAGCCACACUGGAACUGAGACACGGUCCAGAGUCCUACGGGAGGCAGCAGUGGGGAAUAUUGCACAAUGGGCGCAAGCCUGAUGCAGCCAUGCCGCGUGUGUGAAGAAGGCCUUCGGGUUGUAAAGCACUUUCAGCGGGGAGGCGUUACCCGCAGAAGAAGCACCGGCUAACUCCGUGCCAGCCGCCGCGGUAAUAC